rnacentral:rRNA from 1 species
UACGAAGGGUGCAAGCGUUACUCGGAAUUACUGGGCGUAAAGCGUGCGUAGGUGGUUUCUUAAGUCUGCUGUGAAAGCCCCGGGCUCAACCUGGGAAUUGCAGUGGAUACUGGGAAGCUAGAGUGCGGUAGAGGGUAGUGGAAUUCCAGGUGUAGCAGUGAAAUGCGUAGAUAUCUGGAGGAACACCGAUGGCGAAGGCAGCCUCCUGGGCUAGUACUGACGCUCAUGCACGAAAGCGUGGGGAGCAAACAGG